rnacentral:rRNA from 1 species
CCUACGGGUGGCAGCAGUGGGGGAUAUUGCACAAUGGGGGAAACCCUGAUGCAGCGACGCCGCGUGGGCGAAGAAGUAUUUCGGUAUGUAAAGCCCUAUCGGCAGGGAAGAAGAAGGACGGUACCUGACUAAGAAGCCCCGGCUAACUACGUGCCAGCAGCCGCGGUAAUACGUAGGGGGCAAGCGUUAUCCGGAUUUACUGGGUGUAAAGGGGGCGCAGACGGCAGCGCAAGCCAGGAGUGAAAGCCCGGGGCCCAACCCCGGGACGGCUCUUGGAACUGCGCGGCUGGAGUGCAGGAGGGGCAGGCGGAAUUCCUGGUGUAGCGGUGAAAUGCGUAGAUAUCAGGAGGAACACCGGUGGCGAAGGCGGCCUGCUGGACUGCGACUGACGUUGAGGCCCGAAAGCGUGGGGAGCAAACAGGAUUAGAUACCCCUGUAGUC